rnacentral:tRNA from 1 species
GGCGGAGUUUCCCUAGCUUGGUCAAGGGACUGCGUUGGAACCGCAGCGUCCGCGAGGACACGAGUGUUCAAAUCGCUCUCCCGCCG